rnacentral:rRNA from 1 species
GACGAACGCUGGCGGCGUGCCUAAUACAUGCAAGUAGAACGCUGAAGAGAGGAGCUUGCUCUUCUUGGAUGAGUUGCGAACGGGUGAGUAACGCGUAGGUAACCUGCCUUGUAGCGGGGGAUAACUAUUGGAAACGAUAGCUAAUACCGCAUAACAAUGGAUGACUCAUGUCAUUUAUUUGAAAGGGGCAAAUGCUCCACUACAAGAUGGACCUGCGUUGUAUUAGCUAGUAGGUGAGGUAACGGCUCACCUAGGCGACGAUACAUAGCCGACCUGAGAGGGUGAUCGGCCACACUGGGACUGAGACACGGCCCAGACUCCUACGGGAGGCAGCAGUAGGGAAUCUUCGGCAAUGGGGGCAACCCUGACCGAGCAACGCCGCGUGAGUGAAGAAGGUUUUCGGAUCGUAAAGCUCUGUUGUAAGUCAAGAACGAGUGUGAGAGUGGAAAGUUCACACUGUGACGGUAGCUUUCCAGAAAGGGACGGCCAACUACGUGCCAGCCGCCGCGGUAA